rnacentral:rRNA from 1 species
GACGUAGGUGGCGAACGUUAUCCGGAAUUAUUGGGCGUAAAGGGUGCGUAGAUGGCUUGAUAAGUUAGCAGUGGGAAAUCGAGGCUCAACCUCGUGGAAGCUGGUAAUACUGUCAGGCUCGAGUGCAGGAGAGGUUAACGGAACUCCAUGUGGAGCGGUAAAAUGUGUAGAUAUAUGGAAGAACACCAAUAACAGCGAAGGCAGUUAACUAUUCUGUUACUGACAUUGAGGCACGAAAGCGUGGGGAGCAAAACGG